GUUCGUCUGAAUCUGAGACACUCAGGUCUAAAUCCUGUUCUUAUUUCAUGAUCAUUAUGUGGUAAAGUUUUUCGUUUCAUCAUGUCUUUUCUUUGGCUGAAAGCGCAAAUCAUCUCCUUCUCCACCAGUUUCACCAUCUCCACUUCCACCUGUUUCACCAUCUCCACUUGGACCACUUCCACCUUGAAUGUCAGUAUUGUCAUUGACAUUUGAUGAUGUAUUUGUAGCCAUAUGAUUGUCUGUUGAAUGUUGAUCGUCAAUUGAGU
rnacentral:lncRNA from 1 species